UGUCCAAUGGCGGAAUGGUAGACGCGAGGACUUUGCAAGUCUUUGUUCUUUGAGCGUGCGGGUUCGAAUCCCGCUUGGCGUACAA
rnacentral:tRNA from 1 species